CAAAACGCAAGCGCUACAACCCCCAAAAGCGUUGGGAAGUUGCCGAGGAAAAAGCGUUGAUUGAAUUCCUUCUAGAGAAUCGCGAUUUUGAAAAACCAUCGGCACGGCUAUUUUAUAAUCGCUUCGCGAAUGAAAAACAAAUCCUGGUCGAGUGGAAAUCAGCGCGCUCAAAAGUAAGAAAUAUGCGAUCUGCAAAUAAUAAAGCAAAGGAAUGGGAAGGAAGUACUGGCGCUGGUUGAAUGGAUGGCGAUACUAUAAAAAGCGUUUUGCUCAAAAAGUUUCGCUAUUUCUACGAAUUUGACGAUAUUUUCGGUGCCCGACUAAACGCUUGUGCUGUAGUUGAAGAAAUAAUGGAAAGUGCUGAUACUACCAUUGAAGUCCUGUGCAAAUUGAAAUUCCUAUUGUAAAUGAAACAGUUACCACUCCAAGGCAAGGAGGAAUAUACUCCAGAAAAGCGGCUUCCGAUAUUAUGCAAAUCCAUGGCGAAAUAAUGACAUUGCGAAAGCAAAAGUAAGAGGCAGAAUUCACUGCAAGGGAAAGAGAGUUCGAGCAAAAAGAAAAAGAGUUGCAGUUAAAAGCUAAAGAAGUGGAGCUCAAAGAAAUUGAAAUAUAAGCGCUAAAAGACAUCAAACAAAUAGAGCUACAGAUGAAAGAGCGAAUCGCCAUGGAGGAGCUAAAGCUGAAGUACAAAUAAAUUUUUAAAACUUAUUUAGUAUACGAAAUGACCAAUUUUUAUAUUUUUUACUUUUGUUUUCAAUGAGAUGGACUCACACAUCGUUUUAUACGAUGGUUUAAUUUAAA